rnacentral:tRNA from 1 species
GGGCCCGUAGCUCAGCUUGGUAGAGCACCAGACUCUUAAUCUGGCCGCCGAGGGUUCAAAUCCCUCCGGGCUCG